rnacentral:rRNA from 1 species
UACGUAGGUGGCAAGCGUUGUUCGGAAUUACUGGGCGUAAAGCGCGCGUAGGCGGAUCUGCAAGUCGGGGGUGAAAUCCCGAGGCUCAACCUCGGAACUGCCUUCGAUACUGCGGGUCUCGAGUCCGGGAGAGGUGAGUGGAAUUCCUAGUGUAGAGGUGAAAUUCGUAGAUAUUAGGAAGAACACCAGUGGCGAAGGCGGCUCCACUG